UAGAUACUCCCUCAGUCCGAAAAUACUUGUCCUUGAAAUGAUUUAUUUUAGUUACAGAUACAUUCAUUUUAUCCAUUUCAAGGAUAAGUAUUUCCGGACGGAGGGAGUACAAU
rnacentral:pre_miRNA from 1 species